rnacentral:rRNA from 1 species
UCNUACGGGAGGCAGCAGUGGGGAAUUUUGGACAAUGGGGGCAACCCUGAUCCAGCAAUGCCGCGUGUGUGAAGAAGGCCUUCGGGUUGUAAAGCACUUUUGUCCGGAAAGAAAACCUUCGCUCUAAUACAGUGGGGGGAUGACGGUACCGGAAGAAUAAGCACCGGCUAACUACGUGCCAGCAGCCGCGGUAAUACGUAGGGUGCGAGCGUUAAUCGGAAUUACUGGGCGUAAAGCGUGCGCAGGCGGUUCGUUAAGACAGAUGUGAAAUCCCCGGGCUUAACCUGGGAACUGCAUUUGUGACUGGCGAGCUAGAGUAUGGCAGAGGGGGGUAGAAUUCCACGUGUAGCAGUGAAAUGCGUAGAGAUGUGGAGGAAUACCGAUGGCGAAGGCAGCCCCCUGGGCCAAUACUGACGCUCAUGCACGAAAGCGUGGGGAGCAAACAGGAUUAGAUACCCUGGUAGUCCACGCCCUAAACGAUGUCAACUAGUUGUUGGGGAUUCAUUUCCUUAGUAACGUAGCUAACGCGUGAAGUUGACCGCCUGGGGAGUACGGUCGCAAGAUUAAAACUCAAAUGAAUUGACGGA